rnacentral:rRNA from 1 species
AUUGAACGCUGGCGGCAGGCCUAACACAUGCAAGUCGAGCGGAGCGGCGGACGGGUGAGUAAUGCAUAGGAAUCUGCCUGGCAGUGGGGGAUAACGUCCGGACAGGGGCGGUAAUAACGCCUACUAGCAGAUGGGCCUAGGUGGGAUUGGCUAGUUGGUGGGGUAAAGGCCGACCAAGCCGACGCUCCGUAACUGGUCUGAGAGGAUGAUCAGGCACACUGGAACUUAGAGGCGGUCCAGACGCCUACGGGAGGCAGCAGUGGGGAAUAUUGGACAAUGGGCGCAAGCCUGAUCCAGCCAUGCCGCGUGUGUGAAGAAGGUGUUCGGAUUGUAAAGCACUUUAAGUUGGGAGGCGUUACCAACAGAAUAAGCACCGGGUAACUUCGUGCCAGCCGCCGCGGUAAUUC